rnacentral:rRNA from 1 species
UACAGAGGUCUCAAGCGUUGUUCGGAUUCAUUGGGCGUAAAGGGUGUGUAGGUGGCGCGCUAAGUCGGGUGUGAAAUUUCGGAGCUUAACUCCGAAACUGCAUUCGAUACUGGCGUGCUUGAGGACUGGGAGAGGAGACUGGAAUUCAUGGUGUAGCAGUGAAAUGCGUAGAGAUCAUGAGGAAGACCAGUGGCGAAGGCGGGUCUCUGGACAGUUCCUGACACUGAGACACGAAGGCCAGGGGAGCAAACGGG